GAAUAGAAAAAAGUGUACCAUGUUUCUUUCUGCUUGGAAUGCCCCUCACCUAGAUACCUACAUAGCUCACCAAUCCCCCUUUUCCAGUUUCUACUCAAAUACCACCUUUUCAAAAAAAAAAACCUUCUCUGGUCAUCCAAGUGAAAAACAACACAACACAUAAAUCCCCUAACCGUUUUCCCUGCUUUAUUUUUCUAUUAAGCACUUAUCACCAACAUACCACGUACGAGGGAGAACCCAAGAAAAACCAGAAAUUUAUAAAAAAUUGUGUAUUUAUUCUUACAUGUUUAAACUUCAGUCACCUUCAAAAUACUCCCCAUUUGAUGCAAUAUACCUAUCAAGAUGUUUUCUUCCACUGCCCAAAAAAGUUUUGAACUCCAAUUUUGGUGCCUUAUAGUGCUGCUGCAGAUUUUUAUUUUACCUCUUCCACAUAAGCAAAACAUUUCCCUUUGAGGACUUUUUUCACCGGGAAAUAAGAAAAAGUCACUCAGGAGAUCAGGUGAAUAGGGAGGGUGGGCAGAGGGGUCAUGGCAUUUUUGGUCAAAGAUUGCCGAACAUUCAGCACAAUGUGGGCAGGUACACUCUUAAAUCACCCAUCAUGAAAUGGGAAAAUGUGUUGAAAAGAGUUUUCAAAACAAAUUCACUGAGCCAAACACAGCCUCUCACAACAAUGUCAACUGGUACACUGAUACAGGUGGAUUUCUAGAACAUUCACUUAGCAGGGCAAGCUGGUACUACAAGGUGCCCACCCUUCAGAAGAUAAUUCCAGGGUUUUGGGGGUCCCCCUGUCAUGUAUUAUUUAUCUUUUUUACUGUCAUUUCCCCUCCACAGGAACAGAAGCUCCUUGAGGACAAGAAUUUUGCUUUGUUCCCUGAUGCCUAGAGAAGAACCUACUACAUAAUAGGCACUGAGUAAAUAUUGAAAAAAUGUGGGAAUGCUUAAAAUAAUCACUGUGAUUUUCAAAAAGAUCCUUGGUGAUUCUAAUGGGCAGCCAAAGUUCAGAACCACUGCUCUAAAGACUGGCAUUCCUGGGUCUUCUUAUCCAUCUCUUUUUUUCUCUAGGUGAUGACCUUUAUUCCCAUGGAUAAUUAUACUGUAAAUACCCAAACUACUCCAGAUUAUUCAAUUAGCCACUUGACAUUACAUUUGUAUGUCUCACCUUAAGGUACAGUACACAUAUACAACAUCUAAUUAAAUUUCACCAUACCCCAUUCUCCUCAUCUCAGUAAGUGAUACCACCCAACUGCCCAGUAUCUCAUGUCAAAAAAUGCAGUCCCAUUCUUGAUUUCUUUUUCCCCUUUAUAUCCCACAUUUAAUCAGGUCUUAUUAAUUCUAUCACCAAAAUAAAUGUUGAAUACAUCUAUUUCUCUACAUCUCCACUAACCAUCUCUUAUUUGGAGUCAUUUCUACUAAUUGGUCUCCCUGUUCCUACUCUUAACCUUGAUUUAAUCCCUUUUCUACACCGAAGAAAAAAUUAAUUUUAAAAUAUAAAUAAGAUGGUCUUACUUAAAAUGCUCCAAUAGUUUCUCUUCAUACUUACAAUCCAACUUCUUGGCACAAUCCACAAGGCCUAGAGCUUACCUGUGUAUUUUCUAAUAAAGUGAGUUUAUACCAAAUAGGGAAAAAAAGUUUUUAAUAAUCUUUCCUAAAAAAUACUUCUGGAAAAUUAUUAUGGAAAAAGAAUGCUUUGAAACCUACGUAUGUAUACUUCUGGUAGAAAGCAUGGUAUAGCUAAAAGGUCACUUCAUUAAGAAUUAGGUUUGAUUAUGAAUGAGUAUGGGCUAUGGAACUAACAAAACAGAUUACUAAAGAUUACUAAUUACUAAACAGAUUACUUUCCUGCACUUUAAUUUUAUUAUCUGCUAAAGAGUGAGAAAAUUAUCUGCUAAAGUAUGUCUCAAUUCAAAUUACAUUAUAGGGAUUUAAAACACCUAACUUUUCCUCCAAUCUCCUAGAAAGAGUGAGAAAAGGACACAAGAAAGAUUGAGAGGAUCAGAGCCAUCAUCACUGUUGCUUCAUAAAAAUGGAAGAGGAUCUGACACAUGGAAAGAAAAGAUUAAAAUACUGGAUUAGCUGAUCUUUAGGAUUCCGUAUAGUUCAAGUAUUUCAUGUCCAAGCAGGAAAAAGGAGUCUGUAAUCUUUUUCCCUAGUGAAACUGAAAACAGCAGAGGGCUUCAGUGGGCAACUUCGGAUAAUGCUAUGCUUCAAGAUCCCCCACCUUUUCCUUAGCAAGACAAAGAAUAGUUUAUUCUGCUGUAAUUUAUUUUCAGAAAAAUAAAAUUCUUUUUCAAUCGAAAGUACUAUUGCCAAAAAGAUCUCUAUACUUGUCUUUUGUGUCCAAAAACUACCAAAUCUAUUAUGUUGGGCUUUUAGGGAUUUUCUUUUUCUUCCACGGGAUGGUGGUGAUAACCAUGAGGGUACAAAAACAUCCCUCUAUUUUCACUCAUAAAGCUAUAGAUAAACAAAUCCAAAUAAAAUAACAGAAUUUAAAAAAUAAGUUCCACUAUGAUCCAAAGCUAUCCUAAAAUUACCUAGAGGUGAGGUAAUAAGCCAGUUAAGAACACUGAAACUGGGUAUUGUCCUAUUAACCAGCUGACCUUGGAUAAGUCAUUAGGCUCUCAGUGCUUUAGCUUUCUUAUCUGUAAAAUGGAGAUUACGAACUGAAACUUUUCAGGUAAGACAUGUACAGCAAUAACUAUGCUUUCCUUCAAUAACGUAUACCAACCUAGUCUUCACCCUAACAGCCAGAUACCCUAGUACUCACUAUUUGGAAAUAAGUCUAAUUUUCUUAUGUAAAUUCUAUCAUGCACUUCUUUUUUAGGACUAGUUAUUCAAUUAAUAAAAA